rnacentral:rRNA from 1 species
AUACGAAGGUCCCAAGCGUUAUUCGGAAUCACUGGGCGUAAAGAGUACGUAGGCGGUUUGGUAAGUCAGGUGUGAAAUCCCGGAGCUCAACUCCGGAACUGCAUCCGAUACUGCCAGACUUGAGUAAUGGAGAGGCAGGUGGAAUUCUCGGUGUAGCAGUGAAAUGCGUGGAUAUCGAGAGGAAGACCAAUGGCGAAGGCAGCCUGCUGGACAUUUACUGACGCUGAGGUACGAAGGCUAGGGGAGCGAAAGGGAUUAGAAACCCGGGUAGUCC